GACUCUCGGAAAUGAAUAUCUCGACUCUUGCAUCGAUUAUGAACGUAGCGAAAUGCAAUACUUGGUGUGAGUUGCAGAAUCUCGUGAACCAUCGAGUCUUUGAAUGCAAGUUGCGGCCGGAGCCCUUAGGCCAAGGGCACGCCUGCCUAGGUGUUG
rnacentral:rRNA from 1 species